UGUUUUGGUAUUGCUAAGGUUGAUGAUUGUUUAAGGAUAUAUUUGAAUAUUAGUGUGAAAAUUUUUUUUUGCGAUAGUUUAUUGUAUUGAUAAAGAUUUAUUAGUACAUAGAGAUUUAAGGGUUUGUACCUUUUGUAUUAGGGUUUAGUGAAGUUUAAUUGUAUAUUUAAUUCCCGGACGUAAAUGAGUUAAAUGGUCUUUGUAAGGUUGUGAUAUUAGUUUGUAAAGGUUAUUUAGGGGUGAGAUGCUUGCAAAUUUAUGGUGCUGGUUAUGGGUAAGGAGAUGAGAGGAGGAUAAUCUCUUUUUUUUUGUAAAUUAGUGAUGUAUUGAAGUAAAUAUUGGCUCAGGGGUAGCCAUGUAGUGUGUUAAUACUUGUUUAUUUUUAUUUUAUUUUGAUUGCUGAGAGUUUGAGGUAAUUUUUUAUUCUUGGAUAUAAUGCUGGAAUUAGUAAAAGUGUGGUUUAUUAUAUUUGAUGGUUUAGUAAUGGUUGAUGAAUUUGGCAAAGUUUUAGCUGGAAUGUUUAGUAAAUACAUUUUCUUAUGAGUUAUAUAAGGUAAGGCCUGCUCAAUGCUUGGGUGAAUAGUUGCGAUGAUAUAAUCGUGCUAAGGUAGCAUAGUAAUUAGUUAUUUAAUUGGUAACUGGAAUGAAGGGUUUAACUGGUUGGUGCUGUGUUAAUUGUUUUUUUGAAUUUAAUUUUUUAGUGAAAAAGCUGAAGUGAGGUUAGGGGACGAGAAGACCCUUUAAAAUUUAUGCUGUUGUGUUGUGGGAGGACUUGUGGUGGUGAGGUGAUGAUGAUAUGAUGGUGUUAUCUGGGGCGGAGAAUGAAGAGGUUAUCUUCAAUUGGUUAGUGAUUCUUGAAGAAGGUGGUAUGAUUUAUUAAUAAAUGGAAAAAAUUACUUAAGGGAUAACAGCGUGAUUGUUAUGGUGAGAUCGGAUCUAUGUAGCAGUUUGCGACCUCGAUGUUGAAUUAAGUGGAGCUAGGGAGUAUAAGAUUUAGUUUGUAGUCUGUUCGACUAAUAAGUACUUACAUGAUUUGAGUUUAGAUCGGCGUGAGCCAGAUUGGUUUCUAUCUUUAGAGUUUUACGACUUUUCUAUAGUACGAAAGGAUUUAGAAGGGGGAAUAGUUUUAAGGGAAGAGGGGAUAGUGAU
rnacentral:rRNA from 1 species